rnacentral:rRNA from 1 species
GGCGGCACGCCUAACACAUGCAAGUCGAGCGGUAACAUGGUUAGUAGCAAUACUAACUGAUGACGAGCGGCGGACGGGUGAGUAAUACGUAGGAACCUGUCAUUCAGAGGGGGACAACCAAGGGAAACUUUGGCUAAUACCGCGUAAUCUCGAGAGAGCAAAGUUGCCCGCAAGGGUGACGCUGAAUGAGGGGCCCGCGUCCGAUUAGCUAGUUGGUGGGGUAAAAGCCUACCAAGGCGAUGAUCGGUAACUGGUCUGAGAGGACGACCAGUCACACUGGGACUGAGACACGGCCCAGACUCCUACGGGAGGCAGCAGUGGGGAAUCUUGGACAAUGGGGGAAACCCUGAUCCAGCGAUGCCGCGUGGGUGAAGAAGGCCUUCGGGUUGUAAAGCCCUUUAGGCCGGGAAGAAGGGUAGUAGUCGAAUAAACUAUUACUUUGACGGUACAGGCAGAAUAAGCACCGGCAAACUCUGUGCCAGCAGCCGCG